rnacentral:piRNA from 1 species
AGCCAGGACUGUUUUACAGAGAAAC